rnacentral:misc_RNA from 1 species
GAUGAAGAACGUAGUGAAAUGCGAUAAGUAAUGUGAAUUGCAGAAUUCAGUGAAUCAUCGAAUCUUUGAACGCAUCUUGCGCUCCUUGGUAUUCCGAGGAGCAUGCCUGUUUGAGUGUCAUUUUAACUUCUCAACCAUAUCGAAUUGUUUUUCGAGGUGGCUUGGACAUGGGGGUUUUUGCAGGCUUUAAUAAUGAAGUCGGCUCCUCUGAAAUGCAUUAGUGGUAUCUGAAGCAGAACUGCUACUAUUAGGUGUGAUAAUUAUCUAUGCCUCUUGGUAUACUGCAUGAACAGAUUGCGCUGCUUCCAACUUGUACACCCUUUGGUGUUUGACAAAUUUGACCUCAAAUCAGGUAGGACUACCCGCUGAACUUAAGCAUAUCAAUAGCGGAGGA